rnacentral:rRNA from 1 species
AUUGAACGCUGGCGGCGUGCCUUACACAUGCAAGUCGAACGGUAACAGGUCUUCGGAUGCUGACGAGUGGCGAACGGGUGAGUAAUACAUCGGAACGUGCCCGAUCGUGGGGGAUAACGGAGCGAAAGCUUUGCUAAUACCGCAUACGAUCUACGGAUGAAAGCAGGGGACCGCAAGGCCUUGCGCGGACGGAGCGGCCGAUGGCAGAUUAGGUAGUUGGUGGGAUAAAAGCCUACCAAGCCGACGGUCUGUAGCUGGUCUGAGAGGACGACCAGCCCCGCUGGGACUGCGACACGGCCCAGACUCCUACGGGAGGCAGCAGUGGGGAAGUUUGGACAAUGGGCGCAAGCCGGAUCCAGCCAUGCCGCGUGCAGGAUGAAGGCCUUCGGGUUGUAAACUGCUUUUGUACGGAACGAAAAGACUCUGGUUAAUACCUGGGGUCCAUGACGGUACCGUAAGAAUAAGCACCGGCUAACUACGUGCCAGCAGCCGCAGUAACAC